UUUAUUGGGNUAAAGGGUGCGUAGGUGGUGAUUUAAGUCAGCGGUGAAAGUUUGUGGCUCAACCAUAAAAUUGCCGUUGAAACUGGGUUACUUGAGUGUGUUUGAGGUAGGCGGAAUGCGUGGUGUAGCGGUGAAAUGCAUAGAUAUCACGCAGAACUCCGAUUGCGAAGGCAGCUUACUAAACCAUAACUGACACUGAAGCACGAAAGCGUGGGGAUCAAACAGGAUUAGAUACCCUGGUAGUCCACGCAGUAAACGAUGAUUACUAGGAGUUUGCGAUACAAUGUAAGCUCUACAGCGAAAGCGUUAAGUAAUCCACCUGGGGAGUACGCCGGCAACGGUGAAACUCAAAGGAAUUGACGGGGGCCCGCACAAGCGGAGGAACAUGUGGUUUAAUUCGAUGAUACGCGAGGAACCUUACCCGGGUUUGAACGUAGUCUGACCGGAGUGGAAACACUCCUUCUAGCAAUAGCAGAUUACGAGGUGCUGCAUGGUUGUCGUCAGCUCGUGCCGUGAGGUGUCGGCUUAAGUGCCAUAACGAGCGCAACCCUUAUCACUAGUUACUAACAGGUGAAGCUGAGGACUCUGGUGAGACUGCCAGCGUAAGCUGUGAGGAAGGUGGGGAUGACGUCAAAUCAGCACGGCCCUUACAUCCGGGGCGACACACGUGUUACAAUGGCAUGGACAAAGGGCAGCUACCUGGCGACAGGAUGCUAAUCUCCAAACCAUGUCUCAGUUCGGAUCGGAGUCUGCAACUCGACUCCGUGAAGCUGGAUUCGCUAGUAAUCGCGCAUCAGCCAUGGCGCGGUGAAUACGUUCCCGGGCCUUGUACACACCGCCCGUCAAGCCAUGGGAGCCGGGGGUACCUGAAGUCCGUAACCGCAAGGAUCGGCCUAGGGUAAAACUGGUGACUGGGGCUAAGUCGUAACAAGGUAGCAUCACUAGUGAAUUCGCGGCCGCCUGCAGGUCGACCAUANGGGAGA
rnacentral:rRNA from 1 species